GACCUGAUAGCACAAUGGUUAGUGUGUCUACUCUACUUGAACAUUGUAUGUGUUUUAAGCAGAAGAUCCCUGUUCGAUUCAGGGUCAGGUCA